CUAACUGUUCCCCUGGUUCCAUGACAAACAGAGCUUUACUUGUCUUAUUCCUAGCACAGUGCCCAUAGCAGGCAUACAUAAAAUGUGGUCAAUAUGUCAGAUAAACAUCUGAAAAAGUGUGAGAUGUCAUUAGAAGUUCAUUCAGCUACAAGAACAGAAAACCCUACUACAGCGGCUUAAACAACACCCGGAAGAAUCCUGUAUUUAAUUGGCUCAUAUGGAAAAUUUUAGAAAGAGAGAGACAGCAGGGCUGAGACUAUCUUCUGCUCAGGAACCAAAACGAGCUGGGAGUGCUGUUCCAAAGAACCUCCCAUACAGGAAAUAACAAUGAUGGCAGUAGCUGUCAAAUUCUAAAGACGGGGAUAGACUCUGGACCUCCUCAGGCCCCUGAGCCCACUGUAGAGCAGGGACGUGACUUAACUGAAGUUCAGGACUGCGGCCACAGUCACAUCCACCUGUGAGCAAUGGAGGACUUUCAACACAGAACCCUCUGCAUCCCCUGCAUUCUGUUACUAAGCAGCUCAUAGAACACGAAGAGGUAUUAACCUUGUUAUUUGCAGAGUUACAAAAAGCUGAGUCAGGUAUUCCAAAGCAAACCCAGACCAGAAGCCACCUGAGAGUUCGUGCCGGCAAGGACAGAUUCAGAAUGUACAAAAACGAUGAAAAUAAUAUUCUGUGAUCACCCUAUAACCUACUUCCUUACUGACCAAACACAUGUCUCAUUCCCAUUAAAAAGUUAUGCUCAGCCA